rnacentral:lncRNA from 1 species
UAUCUAUGUUUAUGAUUCAUCUUGUCUCGAAAGUGAAAGUAAACCCACGCCACGUCGCCAUUUUAAUAUUUAGAAUUUUACAAUUUUACUUGCUUUUCUGUGCGUGUUUUUACUCAUUAUUAUGGUUUAUUUCUUUAUUACGAUAGUUAAUUUGCUUGUUCCUCAUUUCUACAGACUGAAGGUACAUGAGAGAGGAAAUCGAAGUUCAUUCUGAUGCUACUGAAGAAACAAGUAGUCUUAUGGUGUUCUUGCUAUUAACUAUUCAUCUUGGGUAUGCUGUAGUUAAUUAAGGACAUUAUGAAAACUGCGGGUACCAUUAAGUUAUGGAGCAUUGGUUGUAUCAGUCCUCAUUCGCUCCAGAAAGUAGGUCUAUCUAUGAUCCUAAAUAAAGCAUGAAAAUGCCUCUUUUCCAUUGGGUAUGGAGACAGUGUGUUGUUGCUAAAAGAAAGGAUUUAUGUCAUGAAUGUGAUGGUUCAUGAGAAGGAAUUCCAGUUAAUUUUUAAUGCUAAUAAAACAACCGAUGCUUUUCACGCAAGGGAGAGACAACUGGAAAUUAAUUUGGAAACCACUAAAACAACAGAUUGUCUGGAGUGAUAUCCCCUUUAGAACGCUACUUACUGCAAUUAACUAAGAUUAUCCAAGAAAAGAGAGAGAAUUAAAGUCAGUUUGGUUAUACUGAAACAGCCAGCCAAUGUCUACAUGGGUGUGGUCUUUCGUGGAUUAUAUUCUUGAUUUGCUGUUUUGUCUUCACCUUACCACACUAUACAGUCAAUUUUCAACCGCCGAGUGAGAGCAACUGGAGAUUUUUUUGAGUUCCUCUGAAAGAACAAAUUUUCUGCUGUGGUGUUCCUCCUGGUUUUAGUGUGCUUUUCACACAUACAAACUUUGGAAUUUUACAGUCUACAGUUAAUUAAGUUCGACGUUGGAGAAGACAAAGAUGACCCCAUAGUUGAAA